UACGUAGGGGGCAAGCGUUGUCCGGAAUCAUUGGGCGUAAAGAGCGCGUAGGCGGCCCAGUAAGUCCGCUCUGAAAGUCAGGGGCUCAACCCCUGAAUGCGGGUGGAUACUGCUGGGCUAGAGUCCGGAAGAGGCGAGUGGAAUUCCUGGUGUAGCGGUGAAAUGCGCAGAUAUCAGGAGGAACACCGAUGGCGAAGGCAGCUCGCUGGGACGGUACUGACGCUGAGGCGCGAAAACGUGGGGAGCAAACAGG
rnacentral:rRNA from 1 species